CCCACCAGAUGUUUCACUGUGCCCAUGUCCGUCUCGCAUCUCCAGCACGUCGCUGGGGUGUUGGGGAAUAUUUUGUGUAGGAGGUCCGGGGUUCUGUACCAGAACGUUAGUAAUUUGUAAUUCAUUUCUUGAUAUGACGAGCUGAUUGAGGAUUUGUGGUGGAGGAUUAGAAUUUUGUCCCACUGUGUGUCUGUGAAUAUCCUGUCUGUGAGGUGUUCCCAUUUUCUUUUGUAUGGCAGUGCUGUGUUUUGGUUGUUCGUUAUCAGGUGUUGGUAUAGGGUUGAGGUUGGUUUCUGGAUAGUCGUUUUUUUGUUGCAAAGCUCUUCGAACCACGUGAGGGUUCUAUGUACUGUGGCUCUAUUCGGUAGCGUAUGGUAGAAAUGUGUCAAUUGUGUAUAUCGGUAUCUGCGCAUGGGGGUCGGUGUGCCCUCUAUCAUUUGUUCUAGAGGUAUCAAUCCGGUGGCGGUCAGUGUUUUGUGGAGGGGGAUGAAGUCUUCUACCCCCAGGAAGUUCCAAGCGCUUGCCGGUAGUCCUCC